rnacentral:rRNA from 1 species
GUGGGGAAUCUUCCGCAAUGGACGAAAGUCUGACGGAGCAACGCCGCGUGAGUGAAGAAGGUUUUCGGAUCGUAAAGCUCUUUCGUUAGGGACGAACGUGCUCUUUGUGAAUAAUGAGGAGUAAUGACGGUACCUAAAUAAGAAGCCACGGCUAACUACGUGCCAGCAGCCGCGGUAAUACGUAGGUGGCAAGUGUUGUCCGGAAUUAUUGGGCGUAAAGCGCGCGCAGGCGGGAUAUCAAGUCUGUCUUAAAAGUGCGAGGCUCAACCUCGUGAGGGGACAGAAACUGGUAUUCUUGAGUGUCGGAGAGGAAAGUGGAAUUCCAAGUGUAGCGGUGAAAUGCGUAGAGAUUUGGAAGAACACCAGUGGCGAAGGCGACUUUCUGGACGAUGUCUGACGCUGAGGCGCGAAAGCUAGGGGAGCGAACGGGAUUAGAAACCCGUGUAGUCC